rnacentral:lncRNA from 1 species
CCCCAACACCCGGAGUUGUCCCCGGUGUUGUCACCGUCACCAACACCCGGAGCCGUAUCCCAACACCCGGAGUUGUCCCCGGUGUUGUCACCGUCACCAACACCCGGAGCCAUCCCCAGUGUUGUCACCGUCACCAACACUCGGAGUUGUCCCCAACACCUGGAGCCAUCGCCAACACCCGGAGCCGUCCCCAACACCCGGAGAUGUCCCCGGUAUCGUCACCACCACCGUCACCCGGAGCCAUCCCCAACACCCGGAGCCAUCCCCAACACCCGGAGCCAUCCCCAACACCCGGAGCCAUCCCCAACACCCGGAGCCAUCCCCAACACCCAGAGCUAUUGCCAACAUCCAGAGCUCUUGCCAACACCCAGAGCCAUCCCCAGUGUUGUCACUGUCACCAACACCCGGAGCCAUCCCCAGUGUUGUCACUGUCACCAACACCUGGACUUGUCCCCAACACCUGGAGCCAUCCCCAGUGUUGGCACCAACACCUGGACUUGUCCCCAACACCCGAAGCCGUCCCCAGUGUUGUCACCAUCACCAACACCUGGACUUGUCCCCAACACCCGGAGCCGUCACCCACACCCGGAGCCGUCCCCAGUGUUGUCACCGUCACCAACACCCGGAGCCGUCCCCAACACCCGGAGUUGUCCCCGGUGCUGUCACCGUCACCAACACCCGGAGCCAUCCCCAGUGUUGUCACCGUCACCAACACUCGGAGCCGUCCCCAACACCCAGAGCUAUCGCCAACACCCAGAGCUCUUGCCAACACCCGAAGCCGUCCCCAGUGUUGUCACCGUCACCAACACCCGGAGCCAUCCCCAGUGUUGUCACCAACACCUGGACUUGUCCCCAACACCCGGAGCCGUCCCCACUGUUGUCGCCGCCACUGUCACCCGGAGCUGUCCCCCAACACCCAGAGCCAUCCCCAGUGUUGUCACCGUCACCAACACCCGGACUUGUCCCCAACACCCGGAGUUGUCCCCAGUGUUGUCACCGUCACCAACACCUGGAGCUGUGAUUGUCCCCAACACCCGGCACUGUCACCGUCACUGUCCCCACCAACACCUGGAGCUGUGAUUGUCCCCAACAACACCUGGCACUGUCACCAUCCCCGAACAACACCCGGAGCUGUGAUUGUCCCCAACACCCGGAGCUGUCACUGUCCCCACCAACACCCGGAGCCGUGAUUGUCCCCAACACCCGGUGCUGUCACCAUCACCGUCACCGUGCCCACCAACACCUGGAGCUGUGAUUGUCCCCAACAACACCUGGCACUGUCACCGUCCCCAACACCUGACACUGUC